CAGGAGUGCCAACACCUCCAUACAAUAACCAACCCAUCACAAAGAAUUUUCCAAAGGAGUUUGACACUCACAUUUUUCUUUUAGCACUCGCUGUUGCAUUUCUGACUACAGUGUUGCAGGCCCUUCACCAUCUUCACAGCCCUCCUUUGGAUUCUCUCAAACAGCUUUAGAUCUUUCUUAUAUUGGGGUGCCCAAAGCUGAACACAGGACUCAAGCAGUUACUAGACAUAGUCCACUGACCUACUGAACCUGCUGGCAGACCAGCCAUCACUGACUUGAAGCAUAAACUCAUUCAGAAUGGGUAUCAGCUCCAGAACAGAGGUGGGGUAUAUCUCUCAAAGCCAUAACUGCUCAAAACAAGUGCCUCACUUCAUAAAGCCUUCCCCAGGAAAACGUCUGGGAAAGUCAUCUGUUGUUCUCUGUGGCCAGAGCUGCUGCCACAGCUUCCCAGAGCCUAUGCUCUUUGAUCUGCCAAGACUUCCCCAGGAGACAAGGACAUCAGCACACACUUGCUCCCCCCAUUCCAAAAGAUCAUCUCAAGAGCUAAAUUUCAUUCAGAGAAAAUGGUUUCCUUCUGACAUCUCAGAAAAAUCAUCUGUAUAAGAACUGUAUGUGCUUGCACACAGAGGAGGGAAAACAACAACCCAUAUGGUACUGUAAACCAAAACUUAAAGCAGGAUGGCAAACACCAUCCAAGCAGAGGACUCGGAAGAGGCUCUUCUGGAAGAGAACCAUCACAUGCAGCUGAACCCCAUGUCUGGCAUUGCAGCCUCAAGGAUGAGUGAAGGAGGGGGCAGAGACCAACAAGCAGAGGUGGGGGGCACAGUAGUGAUGGUGUAGGGGACACAUCAGGCACAAGACCAAACAUGAGUCUGUAAGACUUUCCACCAUCAAAGCCAAUGGGGGCACUUAGGAAGCAUCACCUUAUCUAGGGAUAAUCAUUACCAGCAAAGCAUGUAAUUUUAAUUCACCUUUCUUAUCGCCUCCCAUCAUUAACUGGGAAGAGAGAGAAAUCCACACAGAGACAUGGGUGUGUCUGCUAAGCCAGCAUUAAUAAAGUAUUUGCUGUAUGUGUACCUUCAAGAACAACUGGGCUACAUAUUUCAAACAGUUUCAGGCAACCAAACCCAUUUCCUAACUCACAAUUAGUUCUGCAGAUAACUCCAACUAUUACAUGUGUCAGUGGCAGGAAGAUGUUAGGGAUUUAUGUACUAUAUGGAUCUAGCAAUCUACAUGCAGAAAAACAAACAAAUUUAAAAAAAA